UGAACGCCAGCCUUCCUACCUACUUAGGUCAGAGCUCCAAGUGAUCCCAGGCCUUUCGGACCUGUUCAGUUUAUUUCUGACCUUGAUGCCUUCGGUGUGCUGAACUUGAGAGAACAUCCCGGCCCUUCGACUCCUGCACGUUUCUCCUCACUGCUCCUUAGCACUUGGUGCCUUGCCAUCUUGAAAACGGUCUCCUCAGUGUCACCAUGAUUCCAUUUCAGGCCCUCACCACCACCUUCCUGCUCGCAGAGAUAUGGACCCCCUUGGCAUUUACUCCAUCUGGACAGGGUGCUCGGCUCUGUUACAAGUGGGUCCAGGAAGGGGCGUCCUCACUCCCUAUGGGAGGAGCCGUCGCCUCCGGGACAGGUGGCGAAAUCAUCCUCCGAUGCCAGCUCCCUACAUGGCAUUGCCAGCGGCUUUUGUUGCACUUUGGAAAACAGGGUCGAUCCCGGAGGUGGGAGGGGGGAUUAAAAAAAAACCCUCAAGAUGAAAUGUGGUCGUCAAAAAACAAAACUGUCGUAGACAGGACUGCGGCGAGGGCACGAGAACUUUUAAAUCACAAGUAAUUUUUUUUUGAACUGUAAGGUUACCUGUGACAGAGCACGACAUAACAUCCCACCUAUUUUCCCGGGGCAAAGUCUGCUUGUUAUUACAAAUUUCAGCAACUGUA